AAUAUGGGGGGACCAUCCUCCAAGGCUAAAUACUACUGACUGACCGAUAGUGAACCAGUACCGUGAGGGAAAGGCGAAAAGAACCCCGGAGAGGGGAGUGAAAUAGAACCUGAAACCGUAUGCGUACAAGCAGUGGGAGCCUACUUGUUAGGUGACUGCGUACCUUUUGUAUAAUGGGUCAGCGACUUAUAUUCAGUGGCAAGCUUAACCGUAUAGGGUAGGCGUAGCGAAAGCGAGUCUUAAUAGGGCGUUUAGUCGCUGGGUAUAGACCCGAAACCGGGCGAUCUAUCCAUGAGCAGGUUGAAGGUUAGGUAACACUGACUGGAGGACCGAACCCACUCCCGUUGAAAAGGUAGGGGAUGACUUGUGGAUCGGAGUGAAAGGCUAAUCAAGCUCGGAGAUAGCUGGUUCUCCUCGAAA
rnacentral:rRNA from 1 species